rnacentral:hammerhead_ribozyme from 1 species
GUCCAGCUGACAAGUCCCAAAUAGGACGAAACGUCGAUCAAACUGGAU